AAACCUUUCGGGAACAUCCAAUAAAAUUGGAACAAUAUAGAGAACAUCAUCAUGGCUCCUCCGCAAGGAUGAUAUGCACAAAUCGAGAAAUGGUCCAAAAUUUU
rfam:Gossypium hirsutum cultivar TM-1 chromosome 16, whole genome shotgun sequence